rfam:Citrobacter koseri ATCC BAA-895, complete genome.
UGUAAAUCUGAUAUUGUCGCCAUAGCUUUGAUUGUCGACGAACUUAAAGCCUCGCCAUCGUGCGGGGCUUU